AUGAAGCAAAUGAGUAAUCUUUUCUUCUGUCCUGUGGUUCACCUGCCUGUGAUCACCCGUGCAAGUAGUAUCACACAGCUGUAUGUGGCUGUCCCACCUGAGGCUGGGUCUGGACAUCUCAUCAACCCUAAGAGGAUCGUGGCAGAAAUAUCUUUCCAUUCACCUACCAACAUCUUUAUAGGAUCUUCUUCACUACUGGGACCAAGAAAUCAUCCCAAAGGCUCCAUAAUGUCAAAUGAUUCAGACUGUGAACAACCUUCAGAAAACACACAGCAGACAGAGGCUAUCCCUAUUGUGGACUUGGAACCACCUCUUGCCCUUCCCCCUCCUCCCGCUCCAGAGGAUGAAUGGAGUCCUAUUCCCGAGCACACCAACAUGCAUGGUAAAGUAUACAUGCCCGACUUGAUUCAUUUACAUUCUCUCUCUUUAUAUCUUAAGGCACAUCUUCCGAUUUUGCUUUUCUCCUGUUGUUACUAUUUGG
rnacentral:lncRNA from 1 species